rnacentral:siRNA from 1 species
UUUAAGUUUCAGCCUUGCGAC